CCUACGGUGGGCUGCAGUGGGGAAUAUUGGACAAUGGGCGAAAGCCUGAUCCAGCCAUGCCGCGUGUGUGAAGAAGGCCUUCGGGUUGUAAAGCACUUUCAGUGGGGAAGAAAGCCUUGGGGCUAAUACCCUCGAGGAAGGACAUCACCCACAGAAGAAGCACCGGCUAACUCCGUGCCAGCAGCCGCGGUAAUACGGAGGGUGCGAGCGUUAAUCGGAAUUACUGGGCGUAAAGCGCGCGUAGGCGGUCUGAUAAGCCGGUUGUGAAAGCCCCGGGCUCAACCUGGGAACGGCAUCCGGACCUGUCAGGCUAGAGUGCAGGAGAGGAAGGUAGAAUUCCCGGUGUAGCGGUGAAAUGCGUAGAGAUCGGGAGGAAUACCAGUGGCGAAGGCGGCCUUCUGGACUGACACUGACGCUGAGGUGCGAAAGCGUGGGUAGCAAACAGGAUUAGAUACCCCAGUAGUC
rnacentral:rRNA from 1 species